rnacentral:tRNA from 1 species
UAUAUAUUAAUGUUUAAGCAUGAAAAUUUUUGAAAUUUUAUGAAAUAGAUAAAAUUUAUUAUAUAUAA